AAUGUUGGACAAUGGGGGAAACCCUGAGCCAGCCAUCCCGCGUGUAUGAUGAAGGCCUCCGGGUGGUAAAGUACUUUUGGCAGAGAAGAAAAGGUAUCUGCUACUACGAGAUACUGCUGACGGUAUCUGCAGAAGAAGCACCGGCUAACUACGUGCCAGCCGCCGCGGUAAUAAGUAGGGUGCAAGUGUUAAUCGGAAUUACUGGGCGUAAAGCGUGUGACGCCGGUGCGGAAAGAAAGAUGUGACAUCCCAGGGCUCAACCUUGGAACUGCAUUUUUAACUGCCGAGCUAGAGUAUGUCAGAGGGGGGUAGAAUUCCACGUGUAGCAGUGAAAUGCGUAGAUAUGUGGAGGAAUACCGAUGGCGAAGGCAGCCCCCUGGGAUAAUACUGACGCUCAGACACGAAAGCGUGGGGAGCAAACAG
rnacentral:rRNA from 1 species